UAGCUUUUAAGGUAGAGUUAAGCAGGUUCAUAUCACCAAAGAAUAGCAACAAAUGAUACCCUGCCCUAAGACUAAAUUUUCUCUCAAAUGCAUCAAGUCAAGCAUAUGGCAUUACAAUUCCAAUGCUCAUUUGAGCUUUUUUAUUCCAAACACUCAUCUGCAGUUUAACAACUAGAUCCAACUUUAUAAAUCACAUCUAGCAAGCAAAUACAAGAAUCCACAAACUCUUAG
rnacentral:misc_RNA from 1 species